rnacentral:rRNA from 1 species
UGGCGAACGGGUGAGUAAUAUAUCGGAACGUACCCAAGAGUGGGGGAUAACGUAGCGAAAGUUACGCUAAUACCGCAUACGAUCUAAGGAUGAAAGCAGGGGAUCUUCGGACCUUGUGCUCCUGGAGCGGCCGAUAUCUGAUUAGCUAGUUGGUGAGGUAAAGGCUCACCAAGGCUACGAUCAGUAGCUGGUCUGAGAGGACGACCAGCCACGCUGGAACUGAGACACGGUCCAGACUCCUACGGGAGGCAGCAGUGGGGAAUUUUGGACAAUGGGCGAAAGCCUGAUCCAGCAAUGCCGCGUGAGUGAAGAAGGCCUUCGGGUUGUAAAGCUCUUUUGUCAGGGAAGAAACGGUUUGGGCUAAUAUCCUGAGCUAAUGACGGUACCUGAAGAAUAAGCACCGGCUAACUACGUGCCAGCAGCCGCGGUAAUACGUAGGGUGCAAGCGUUAAUCGGAAUUACUGGGCGUAAAGCGUGCGCAGGCGGUUUUGUAAGUCUGACGUGAAAUCCCCGGGCUCAACCUGGGAAUUGCGUUGGAGACUGCAAGGCUAGAAUCUGGCAGAGGGGGGUAGAAUUCCACGUGUAGCAGUGAAAUGCGUAGAGAUGUGGAGGAACACCGAUGGCGAAGGCAGCCCCCUGGGUCAAGAUUGACGCUCAUGCACGAAAGCGUGGGGAGCAAACAGGAUUAGAUACCCUGGUAGUCCACGCCCUAAACGAUGUCUACUAGUUGUCGGGUUUUAAUUAACUUGGUAACGCAGCUAACGCGUGAAGUAGACCGCCUGGGGAGUACGGUCGCAAGAUUAAAACUCAAAGGAAUUGAC